AGUGCCUCAAGAUGAGGCGUUCAAGAUCACUCACGUGAAGAAGAAGGCAAACGCUAAUGAUCCAGAUCACUGGUGUGAGGAACGGGCUAAGCAUACCUACAAUCAAUAUCAACAUUCAAAGGCGGAGUUUCUUCGUACUCAGCCACCCGACACACAGCUGACAGAAGAACAAAUGGAGGAAAGGUGGCUUGAGAGUGUUGGUGGUCCCAC